rnacentral:misc_RNA from 1 species
GAUGAAGAACGUAGCGAAAUGCGAUAAGUAAUGUGAAUUGCAGAAUUCAGUGAAUCAUCGAAUCUUUGAACGCACCUUGCACCCUUUGGACUGCUCCAAAGGGUAUGCUCGUUUGAGUGUCAUUGUACUCUCACACUCUCUGAUCCUUUGGAUUUGGGGAGCAGUGGACUUGGGUGCUUGCUGCUUCCUUGUGGCUCACCUGAAAUGCAUCAGUGCAUCUCUCGAUUGGACAUAGUACGGCGUGAUAAGUGUCUUCGCCGGCACCUCAUAUGAGGGUGGCCGAUCGGGAGCUCUGUGCUUUCAAACCGUCUUCGGUCAACGCUGACAACUUGACCUCAAAUCGAGUAGGACUACCCGCUGAACUUAAGCAUAUCAAUAAGCGGAGGA